GGCAAUAGUUGGCAAUAGUGGUGAUUGUUGUGAAUCGUCGCGGGCACGGAGCGGGUCGACUUCGUACUGGAGCAGUGUCGUGUCGCGUAUAAUUAUCCCGUAUAGCCGUGAAUAGCCUCGAUCGCGGCUCGAUAUUCGUCAUCCGCGUGACAUGUAAGCACACAGCUUGUUUACAUAGUUGGCGACGUGUUCGAGCGAGCGCGAAUGCCCUCGCGGAGCCGUGCGUCGUUGGGAAGAGGUAUGACGCACUCGAUCGGAGUGAUUUGUGUAAAGGGCCGAUUCUACAUGAGCAGAACGCGGACGGCAGGUCGCGGACGCGGAUGUACACAUGCGUCGUCAUCAGAGGUUAACUCGCCCGAAAUCUAUCGUAUCAAUGUCGCACCGUGUGCCGCCGGCCGCCGGUCGCGUCAGUCGGUGACGAGCGGGUCGGCGAGAGUAGUUUGCGUGUUGAUCGCGUAGCAUCGCGCUAUCGCAUCUUUUUCGUGUCUUAUCAUCUUAUUCUCUCCGUCGCGAUGUAACGAAGUGCACGUCGCGUACGAUUGAUCUCGGGUGUGCCGUGUCAAAGUGCCGCGCGAUCAUCGUAUUCCCGCGAUUAGCGCAAGGAGUUAACCUUAUUUUCGCGAGUGAGCUGUGUGUGUGAGUGCCGUGAGUGAAGGAGCAUCAACGCAAGAGAGAGAGAGAGAGGAGGAGAAGGAGGCCCAGGAAGGCAUCGAGCAUCGACGGAGCAACCAUCUGGAUUAACGUCGUUGCUACAACUCCGUUGCUGCGCAUCGCAUUGGUUCAACGUAACCUUAUCGCCACUUCGUUGCUGCGCAUCAUACCGGUAUCCCGGUAUCCGCGAUGCUUCUGCGAAGAUCUACGAGCCUAGCUAACGAGGGGGCCGCGUAUACGGAUUCUCGUGCGCGACGAGGGAGAGAAGAGACCUUUCGGACUCAUCUGAUAAAGCAGAGUAUUCUGGUGCACGAGAUUGACGCAGAGAAAGGCGAAGUGUAACCUGGAUCCGGGAUGUUCAACCUGUGAGGACGAGCCUACGAUAAUUUGCGGUAAGGUAAGAAAGUCCCAUCGGCGCGGCGGCCGUCUGGCAUCAUUGCGACGCUAAUAAUCGACAUAAUACCCUACCGUUUCCCUACAAUUAGAUACGUGAUAUACGCAUACAUAAAUGUAAUACGUUCCCCGUGCGCGCGCGACGUUAUCCUUUAUGACUCGCCGGGUAAAUCCAUAAAACGGCUCACAGAAAGUCAGGUUUAUCCUAUUCUCCAGUUAACGCAUAUACGGCGGUGUCAACUGGGAAACAGAAGAUACGACGAGGUCAGGGAGUAACGGCCGCUUACAUUUGCACGGUGCACGUAACGUUCCCUGUUAAAGAGAGUUCUGCCACGACCCCCCAGGUGCACGUCGAUUUCUGAAAGUCCGCUUAAUUUCCCAGGAAGGAAUUCUUGGAUGCGGCGCGCAAACGCGAAAUGGCCGGUCGAAGCACCGUCCGGUCGGGGCAUAAGCGCAGCGACACGAUGGGUUUAUCGGAAAAAAUUUACGAGAUAAAAACCGUCAUCCGUUAUCGGACCGUUAAAGCAAAAAGAGGAGAGGCGAAGAGUGUUUUCCUCUAAUGACGCGCGACGGGCGUUAAAACGAAAAUGCCGCCAAGUACGAUUUGAUGAUAUGUCGCGAGUCGGAUGUCACGAUAAGCUAGGAACGAAAUCCGCUUUUUUGAAAACUCAGCCAACCUUCAUCGUUACUCUCUAGAAGAAUAUCUAGAGAGCCAAUUUUUGAUAGUGUCAUCAGUAAUAAACGAGUCUCCGCGAUAAGCAGAAAUAAAAUUGAAAUUAUUCUUAUAUUAUAAUCCAUAACUGUUUAUCUUUUAAAACAUAAAAUCUACAAAAAGUUCUACAAUGAUAAAUAUUAAGAUUCGGAUGGAGCUAUACGGAAGAGCUACAUAUAAAAUAACUUGAAUUAAUUAGACAUAAAAAGAAGUCGGUGAGAAGAUGCCUAAGAGUAUUACAUCUGCGCCGGACGCGCUGAGGAGCUCGAAGGUUUAAGAAGCCCCGAGGCUCAUCGGGAUGCCGAGGGGGCCCCCGAUACAUGUAGCAAAGGUCGGGCCAGCACUAAACGCCAGACAAUGCCCGUCGGCACCCUUUAUACUUCUCUCUCGAUCGGCCAACGCAGGAUCGACAACGGAGCGAGUCGACGCGAGAGAGAUUCCGCGAGCCUCUGUUGAAAAUCAGACGUUCAUCUCGCAACCUGAUGGAAGAUAUUCGCGUAAAGUGGAUCGGACCGCGCUAAUCGGGGGCACGUUUCCUCCUCGUGAAUCCGCCUCCUCGCAAAUCUCGCGGGCCCGCGGAACAUGAGGCAAGGCAAGGAAGCGUCGCGUCGCCCGCAAUCUCGCGCGCUAAUCGCCAAGUCCCGCGCUAACAAACGCCCGCCGACCAUUCGUGAAACUAACGGAGUAACUAAUUACUGUCUCGAAGUUUAUUUAUGCACCGCGAAGGUUUCGCGUAACACCGUCACGCGAAUCGAAGAGUAAAUUUCCCGGUGGACAAGUUAAGGAUACUUGGGCCGUCUCGCGUAAGGUGUCUGUUCACUCUUAAAUUCGUAGUUCUUUAAAAAUUACAGAGAGAGAGAGAGAGAGAGAGAGAGAGAGAGAGAAAUUUACAAUUUCCAUGCGAUUUCCACGAAGUAUCAUGCACGAAGUGAAAAGCUGGGUGUAUGUGCAAUUUUUUCUACUUUUUCUAAAAUAAAUUGAUUUCACACUUCCCUGCGAUAGAGCUGAAUAUUCUUGACCUCAUGCGAAUAAGAUUUAUGAUGUCUCUUAUAUUUAUGAUCACUCUCAUAUUAGCUACAACUUUGGGAAAUUAUGAUUCAUAUAAUUUUCCCGCGCGUUUAAUUACGUUUGUUGGAUUUUAAAUAUGUAAGUGUUAAAAACAAAUUUGUUAUUGAAAAUUAUUAUCUCUAAUAUUCCUUGAAACGUGCCUAUUAAAUAUAUGUAUGUAUGUACGUGCAAGUAUACAUUCGCGAUCGAUAUAAAAAAAAUGAGGUUCACGCAUUCCUUCUCAACGGCAAGAUGAAGCAUCUCUUCCUCGCGCGAUUCUUUCGUUCGCAUCUCGCCGCCUUACGCGAUCGGCGCUUAUCCUCUCCACCUUUCCGAAAAUGUAACGAGAUCUCCGUCACGCCCAUCGCCGCGCGCGGGCCUCUUUAUCUUAAUAUAAUCCGGAUCGGAAACUCUCGUGAGCCGAUGCCGGCACUACGCGCCGCUUUCAAGUGCGCCGCUCGCAGUAAAAUCGCGGCUCGAGCUUCUUAUCUCGACGGAUCGCGAAUGACCCUCGACCCCUGCUCGUCGCCUAUUGGCGGUAUAUCGCGUGUCUCUCGCCGGUCGAGUACCUAUUGUCCGCACGGAAGUCGCGAACUCCCUCGAUUUUCGUCGACGGAGAGAUCGAUCGCGUUUUCGAUCACUUUGGCCGAUCUCCUCAACGGCACCGAAGAUCGUCUCCACGAGGAGAGAUCGUUGAGUCAGCCAUACGGAUCUGCAGAAAUGAGCAUCUUCGAAAGUCGCCUAUUCGAUAGACGGGGACAAUAAUUGAUCGUCGAGAAGUCGGUAUAAAACCGAUGAGUCUUUAGCACGAAACCCGACGAGCGUUCGCGGAUAGAUAUCGCCGUUUGCGGUUUGACGAUUUCCGGUGCGAGCUUUCGAUCCGAUCUCCCAUCCGUCCCAGGAAUGCGCAUUCCUCAAUCGUGCUCCCCGCCUGGUAUUAAUUUAUAUCCCGCGAUACAAAUGUGUAUAAAUUACAAGAGUCGGAUUCUCGCCGUCUACACGUAUGUUGUUUCACUGCGGUGAAACGCACUCUAUCCUAGCGUAAGAUAGAGAAGCGAGAAUCCUUAAAGUAUGGGUCACGAUUUAUUAAAAUUUUGCAGGUUGAUUUUUGGUGGGUCGUGAGCAAUUUUUCAGUUAUCGUAAGAAUCGAAUUUUCAUUCCAAAUCGUAUUUCUCAGGCCUUUAUAUUUUGAGAAAUAGCUUUAAAAUAGGAGAAAAUGUUAUAAAUAAUUCCCUCCCCUUCCUUUCCUUUCUAUUUUUCCCUAAUAUUAGCUAGGUCGCGAAUAUUUCUUGUUUAAAACAAAGCGGUCCAGAGAUAGAGUACUGUGAGCGCAAAACAGAAUAAAAUGGGACAAUAAAUUGUGUCAAAAUUUCCAAGUAUAUAAUAUAUAACGGAAUGAAUCUUUCAGUGUUGCAACAAUCUUAUUAGCAACUUUAAUCUAACAAUUGUGAUUCGUCAUCAAACGAUUUAAAUUUGCAAAAAAGUAAUUAUAAUAAUUUAUAUAAAAAUCGUUGCAAGCUCACGCAUUACAGCACACACAAACACAUACACAUUUUUCUCUCGUGCAAUUCGUUUCCGGAAAAAUUUCAAGAAAAUCAAUUUCGCUCAGACCUAAGGAAAGGCGAAUCGUACGGCGGAAGGGGAGAAAUGAAAUUUGCGUAAAUUCGCGAGUACUCUCUCGCGCGCGCGCGCGCGCGACUCGCUCAUGCAAAUCGCCGAGGACCGUUAACGGCCGACACUAAAUCUUUAACGGCCCCAGCGUGCCUCUCCCAGAGCACUAACUCAUAAGUCGUGAGAGUUAGUGCUCGACGUACGCGAGCGGAUUGGAGCGGAGCGGAGCGGCGAGGGGCAAAAACAAACCUCCGUUACCAAAUGAACUCAAGCGCGCUCCUCGUCGACGAAUUUAUCGCCCUCGUUGCGACGCGCGCCAAACCUCGUAACUCAUAUUCGCCUCAAAAUUUCUCGUUAUCACCGUCGCGCACUUUCACGCUCGUAAAUUUUCAUCCGUGCCUUUUCGAGUAAUCGCCGCGAAGCACGAGAGUAAUAAAUAUCAUUAGAUACCGUUAACGAUAAUUGCUGAUGUCCGUGGAUCACGAGCGAUUCGCAAGUGAUAUCGCGCUGACUCUACUAUUGUUAUUUCCCUCUGUCGAGUACAUCCUCGUUGUAUAAGAAUAUUUAGAAAGUCUAUCGAGCUACACCUUUCACACGGAUGGAUCUUUAAUUAAUUUUAUUUCUAUUUGACGACAAAUUUUUAAUACAUAUUCUUUUCAGUUUUAAGAAACUUGACAAAUAAGACAUUGUCAGUUUUAUUGAAUAAUAAAGUAUGUCGCACACAAACAACCAGUGUCAGCUCUAUAUCGGCAUUAUCUUUAUAUGUUUGCGAAAUAAGAUUCAGCAUAAGAAUUCAUUAAUUAAAAAUCUCAUUUAAAAUAAAUAAAGCAUGUUAUUAUUAAAACAUAUUCUUUUAUCUUGAUAUUAAAAAUUAGAAAUUCAAUCAUUAAUUGAUAAUAAAUACACUCUUUCAAUUUUCGACUAAAAAGUUGUAAGAGGUCGACAGUUUUUUCCUUGGUUCGAUUUGUUUAUAAAUUGAAAAUUUGGCAAAAAAUAUUCUAUCGACGUUCGCUUGAAAUCCCAUCUUGAAAUCUAGUGAAGCCGGACGAUCGACCGACGAUUCGUAGGGAUCGCUCGGAUAACGCCAUGGCGGUAUAGUAUGUCGGAAAUUAUAGGGUGUUAUUCGCGUUGCACGGCGCGCGCGAGAGAGGAUAUGCGAUUCAACGAAGAUAGUGUUGUUCGACCUGCGCAGUUGGUCCAGGGCAUAGCGGCGGAGUGAGACGGGGCAGGGGCACACGUUUAUAAGGUCGAUUUUAAUAGGGGUUUGGUUACAAUUAUGAGGCACUGGUAAUGGAGCCCGGCACUCAUUACCUCGCUAAACUGGAACUAAUUAUUAUGUUUCACGGCGCGUUGCAAAAAUUCCGAAGCAUCACCUAAACGAGUGCGAAGGGAAAGGCAAAGGGGGGCUCAUCUCGAAAAUCGAAUAUUUCACGAACGCACGUGCCAUCUAAAAAAAAAAAAGAAAACAAUGCAACCUGUACUUAUUAUUAUGUGUAUGUGCGUGUGUGUAUGUAUAUGAUAUGAUAUUUAAUAAGACGUAUAUAAACUUUUAAUAUUUGUGAAAUAUAGUCUUUACGUGUAGGAACAUUAUAAAAAUCGAAAAAAAGAGAUGCGAUUUAUCUUUUGUUUCCAGUAGAUCGAUAAUUAAUGUGGAUAUUUUUCAAAGUUUGAUAAUUGCUGCAUACAACUAGCAUUAACGUCCAUAUCAGUUUCGUCCAUUUGCGCUUCGCGCUUAAGCCAUGAAUCUCCGCGAGCGCGCGCUUUAAGACAAAUAAGCUAGGUAUAUCGCGAGGACAAAGGCCACGGAGAGGUCUUCGAAUGAUUCUCCACGUGGGGGCCAGAUCCGGUGGGUGCCACGCUCGAAAGAGCCGCUGAGUGUGUGAACGUAUUAACACCUCGAAGGAUUUAUGGUAUCGAGAGCUGCGAGUUCUCUCUCUCUCUCUCUCUCUCUCUCUCUCUCUCUCUCUCUCUCUCUCUUUCUCUUGCGACGAGGGGAAGAAAGCGAGAGAGGCUCUCGUGAAGGAGGAGGUAAGAGAGACGGCGAAGUGCGCGGAGGGCCCAAACAGGGUCCCCUGCGGCACACGGCGCGAUCCCGGACUCUCGCAGAGACCACUGGAACAAAUGGGCUCAAUUUCAUAUUUUGUAACACCUCCGUUCCACCGGCGUGCCGUGUCGUUUUCACGAGCACCCACGCACCUGGCGAUCUAUUUCGUGGUCAUAUAUAUUUCUCGGUUUAACGUUCCUCCGCCCCUUCGAGCGCAUAUAUUUUAUACGCGCACGCAUACGCACGACGCGCGCCCGACUCUCAUUUUCUUUUUCUUCGUCGCGCCUUCCACCCGCGAUCCUCGUUACUCUUCUAUCUGGACACGUCCACUGUGCGCGCUCGGUCCUCGCUUCCUACCGAUUUGUGCCCGCUUCAAGACGUAAUAACGCAACAAAGUGGUCUCUUCCGGGCUUAUUCAUUGGCUGGCAGAUAACACGAAUACGCUUCGAUCACUGUCGCGCUUGAAAUUAGCCGGAGUGAUGGAGCGACCGUCAUUUUUCACGCUCGUAACUAGGCUCGAUGUGAAAAAUGUAAAGGACCGUGUCGGGGAUAAAACGAGAUCCGACCUGAUGGAUGAACGUCGGAUCGCUAAAAAAUGCACAGACUAAUUUUGACAGGACAAAUCGAUACGAUUUUUUAACCGUCGACAAAUCGGACAUCGAUUGGCGCGGUGC